UGGGGGAUAUUGCACAAUGGGCGAAAGCCUGAUGCAGCGACGCCGCGUGGGGGAUGAAGGCUUUCGGGUUGUAAACCUCUUUCGCUAUCGAACAAGGCCCGCUUAGGGUGGGUUGAGGGUAGGUGGAGAAGAAGCGCCGGCUAACAACGUGCCAGCAGCCGCGGUAAUACGUAGGGCGCGAGCGUUGUCCGGAAUUAUUGGGCGUAACGGGCUUGUAGGCGGCUUGUUGCGCCUGCUGUGAAAACGCGGGGCUUAACUUCGCGCGUGCAGUGGGUACGGGCAGGCUUGAGUGUGGUAGGGGUGACUGGAAUUCCAGGUGUAGCGGUGGAAUGCGCAGAUAUCUGGAGGAACACCGAUGGCGAAGGCAGGUCACUGGGCCAUUACUGACGCUGAGGAGCGAAAGCAUGGGUAGCGAACAGG
rnacentral:rRNA from 1 species